AAUUACGCAUGAAUUUUUACAUUUUCUCUCAUUUUUCAAGAUCCAUCUUCAAUUAUGCAUGAAUUUUACAUCAGUUUAGUGUCAAACAUUACAUAUAAGUAAGGUUUCACAGUAGUUUUUAAAGAAGAAGGAUGAUCGAUAUUCUACCCUGAACUGACGUUACCAACCCAACAUUAACAAAUAACAGAGAGCCUGUUUCUACAUUCAAAUAUAAAUGAGUAUAGGACUUCUACGGAAUCUUUGUGGUGUAAAGUUAAUGGAAAUCUAGAAAUCAACAAAUGCUAUGGUUUUGAAGCUCUACCCCCUUUCUAGAGUUGCCAGGUGUGGUAUUAUUGAGCAAAUAAUGUCCAAAGAUUUUAAAAAACUGUAUCAUGACUUCCCUUGCCAAGUGUACAUGCUCUGUGAUUGAUAAAAUGAAUGAAGACAUGAUUAGGUACUUCUACUGCCCUGUUUUUGUCAUUAUUAUGGUAUAUAUUUAGAAAAAUUUAAAAUAUGAAUUUGAAUUUUUUAGAAAAAUUAAAAAUAUGAAUUCUGAAUUUUUAAAAUGGAUUUCUAUGCUGCCUAAGAUUAGUAAACUGUGAGGCUGUUAAAUAGUUAGUGUUUGAGGUCAUGUACACUUGACAAGAAAAGUGAAGAUACAUUUUUCACUAGCUUUCGUUCAUCGAAUUUCCCAUUUGUUUUUACUGAAAAGACAUAAUAUCACUAAAUUUACUGUAGAAUAUGAAAAUACACUGUAAAUUAUAUCAUAUAAGUUAAAACUGCAAAACAAAACCAUUCAGAUACAUAAAAACACGAUAUAUGUCCGAAAUAAUUGGAAUUUCUCAGAUGGAUUUGUUCAUAGAGAUCUGGUAGGUAGAAUGUGAAUUUCUGAUUGUAGUACUAUGUAUCACGACGACAAUAUUUACUCGUUUUCCUUCAUGAACGGGGAAUACUAUUGCAUCAUCGUAAGUGGUGAAUGCAAUUAUUUUAGUUUCUACAAACUCAUGUUGUGAUUAAAGUUAGCUGACGUCAAUGGCAGUCAAUGUUGCGAUGGCUGAGGUAGGUUGAGCAAAUUUAGUUGCAUCCGCAAGAGCAUUUUCUAUGAUGUGAGGAGGAGCCCAAGAACUUCAAGGGGGAAACCGCAAGUCACUGGAUACUCUGGCUUACGUAACAGAUUUCACACUUAGAUUACUUUGACGUUGACAUGGAUCAAAUACUAGUUGCUGUUUACAAAGCUAUUGUCUUUAAACAUAAAUCUUUAUCAUGGUUAAAGUGGCAUGUCAGCUCAAAAAUUUUCUGGCUAUAUACUACCAUUACAAAGCAGUUCGUAGUAGCCUACAGCCCUACACGACUGCAUUUCUUUGCAGCGAGGCUGAAAGAUCUCCCAACACAUCAGCAUCUUUUGCACGAUAUAAAACUUUAAUUGCCUGUGUAAUAAAUAUUGAGUUAUUUCUGGUAAUACAUAUUUUUCCUUAACACAGCUUUGUUCGUGAAUGAUUUGUGGAUGAAACCCGAUUUUCAAAAGUACAGACUAUAUCAAGAGAGCAAGAAUGACCGCAGCCUGUGUCUAAAAUUUUCAACGUCUUCUUACAAUCUUUGAAUGUUAAUGAAAUCAAGAUUAGGGUAUGAAUUUCUUAGAGAAUUAACUUGAAUACGUAUUAUGAUCCUUCAAAUUUUAUCUAGCAAAGUGCAACACGAUCUUGGCAGUCAUAUCACCCUGUCUCUCUCUCUCCCCACUUCUAAAAUGUACUUGAAAAAUAUAUAUUACCUCUCAAUCUCCCAAAGAAAAUAUAAUGAAAUUAAGUAGUUAUAAAUAGGCCUAAGCUUUCAUGUAAGCAGAUUUUGCUCUCUCUCUCUCUCUCUCUCUCUCUCUCUCUCUCUCUCUCUCUCUCUCUCUCUCUCUCUCUCUCUCUCUCAUAAAUAUAAUGAAUAAAGUAUCUAUAGAUAGUCCUAUGCUCUCUCUGUCUCUCUCUCUCUCCACCUUUUGAAACAUUUGUAAAAAUAUUAUCACUUAAUUCUCUCAAAGUAAAUAUAAUGAAUUAAGUAUUCGAUAGGCCUAUGCUUGCGAGCUCUCUCUCUGUCGUCAUAAUAUUUCAUUCUUCAUUGUAUUGUUCCUCACGAUUUCCACAAGUACUGCCCAAAUUUUAAAACACUUUCUCUCAUUGUUUAAAAUCUGUCUUCAAUUACGUAUGAAUUUUAUGUCAGUUUAGUGUCAAACAUUACUUAUUUAUAUAAGGUUUCACAGUAGGUUUUAAAAAAGGAUGAUCAAUAUUCUACCCUGAACUGACGUUACCAAACUAACAUUAACGAAUAAUAUAGAGCCUGUUUCUACAUUCAAGUAUAAAUGAUUAUAGGACCUCUACAGAAUCUUUAUGGUGUAAGGCUAAUGGAAAUCUAGAAAGCAACAAAUGCAUGAUUUUGAAGCUCCGCCCCCUUUCUAGAGUUGCCAGGUGUGCCAUUAUUGAAUAAUAUAUGUCCGAAUAUUAAAAAAACUAUAUCUUAACUUUCCUUGACGAGUGUACUUUCUGUGUAGAUUUGUAAGCAUACAGUUCCUAUACCAAGCAUUUUGCUGUUAGUGUUUUUACAAGUAAAGUGAAGUCUUACUGAAAACAGGCUCAUCUCUGGCACCCCAGCACGGUCCGACCCUACCGCUAUUCAAAUGCUAUUAUCUCUAAAAGUAUUGAAUAUAAAAGAAAAAUUCUUUCAGCAGAUAAAAUGUUUAUAUGUAUCUUUAAAUUUCACCCCAUAUAAGAUUUAUUUUUAAAAUAUAAAUUCACAUUUAAAUUGUUUUAAUUAUACAUAAUGCAUUUCUGGCUGCCUGACACACCCAGCCGUAACGCUAUUCAAAUGCUAAUAUCUCCAAAAGAUAAAAUAAAAAUUCUUUCAGCAGACAAAACCUUACAUCUUUAAAUUUCAUCCCACAUAAGAUUUAUUUUUAAAAUGCAUUUGAACGGCCCGGAACGGCCUGACCCUAAAGCUGUUCAAAUGCUAAUGUGUAAUAUGUAUCUCCAAAAGUAUUAAAAAUAAAAUAAAAAUUCUUUUGGCUGAUAAAACCUUACAUCUUUAAAUUUCAUCCCAUAUAAGAUUUAUUUUUAAAAUAUAAAUUCACGUUGAAUUGGUGUUAACCCUUUGAUGGUUUAACUUAAAGCAUUGUGAGUUAUUGCCUUUAGGGCGCCCAACUGGUCAUUAACGGCUAUAUGAUAUUCAUAAGUUGAUACUGUGUGGAGUCAGGUUGAAUAACCCAAUAUCCAGAUAGGGAAAAAGAUUAAGCAUAAGAAGAAAAAUUUGAUGCUAUUAUCUCAGUCAGUUCUUGUAUUGAACACUACCAGCAUUCUGCAAAAGAAAAACACUAUGAAAGGACGAAUAGAAAACUAAAAUAUGAAAGGGGAGAUUUAAGGAAAAUUUCUACAAUUUGAAGUAAGUCUACAUAGCAGAUCAGAGCUAAUGGAGCAUAUUGUUAGGGACAAACUUCCUGAAUUAUGCAUAAAAAAUCUUUUUCAAUAGUAAGGAGUGGUUAAGGAAAAAGACUGUGCACUAGUAAGAACAAGUCAAAGUACAACUGAGGUCAUUAGGAGACUUUAGUUUGCUUAUUGCUAGAAGAGAUUUUUACAAAAAGUAAUACAAAGCUUAGUCCUUAUUCCUUUUCCAUUUUGAAAGGCAAAAGUUAGUGAUUUUGUUAUUCUUACAUCAGUUUUUUUUAUGACCAAAGUGAUUUCAACACAAACCCAUCACUUGCGUGCAGCUCACAUCUAUGAUUUUUAAUGCUGCAGUCUCAUCUGACAGACAGGAGAGUGGUAAUAGUACUACAUACAUGUUACUUUGAUCCUCUGGACCAUAGUAGGCAGCUGCCUUUCAUUUUAUGUGGUUUGUAGUGUUAGCUGAGAGAACAGUGAGAUACAGAGUAGGUCACAUUAUUCAAGUGAUUGAUUUGUAUGGAAAAAAUUUUACAAUAAAUUCUUUUGUUUUGUCAUAAACCUGUCACCCAUAUUCAGCCCAAAUUAAAAGCUAAGAGAGAAGUAUUAGCUGCUAGAUCCCCAAAAGCUGACUGUAGUCUACAAGCUCCAUAUGUUGUAUAUAGUAGUACUCUGAUUUUGCUUUUAAUGUUCAAAUGACAACAUCCUGCUUGCUGGAAUGCAUUUUCCUACAGUAUUAAAUGAAUGUAAUUUGAGCUUGCCAUGUCACAUGUACAUCAUUUGGAUCUGAUGUGACAAAUGUGAUUAUACUAUAUUUUAUGUUCCAGCACUAUGGUGAAUUGGUUUUUGCAUUGUAAAGAAAUCAAGUAAUCAGGUAAAAAUUUUGAUGAUCAGUGGUAGCCUGGGAUGUCAUUUAAUAAAAUUUCUCAUUUUUUUCCUUGUUAGAGUAACAUGCACUCAUAAAUGUACUUAAGAAUAAAAUGAAGGCUGAAGGCAAAGUUUUUCAACAGUCAGAAUAGGGGUAAAUAAGUACAUUUUAGGUCCAAUAUGUCCCUAUCGCCAGUCACAGUUGGGAUAAAGCUCUAUUCCUCCAACAAGACCACUACUGAAAGUUGCUUGCUAGAGUUUCAUUUAAGCAAUCAAAUGUUAUUUAAAAAAUAUUUCAAAAUCAAGAUGUCUAUCAAUGCAUUCAGAAAAACCAUGAGUAAAACAUGGAAGUGGCACACUUAUAACAAAAUUUACCACUACUGCACAGAAACUGUUGACCUCGCUUGACUUCCAAGGGUAGUAAAAGAUGUAAGAUAUAUAUAUGAAUUAGAAUAAAAUAAAACAUUAAACAGGUUUGUUUAGGAGAACAUGUUUAGUUGUGUACUAAUUGUAGUAGUUGCAUUGUUAUUGUUAUCCUAAAAUGUAUCUUUUACAGUACUAUUGGUAAUAAUGUUGAUAGUACAUAUCUCUUAAUACUACAUACAAAACUACAAUACAGAAAAUUUAUGGUGUGUGAGAGAUUAAUUAAAUAUUGUUAUUUUUCUGGCAUCAGCUACUAUGGUCACUGAUGUCAUUUGUAUGUAAGGAAAAAGAAUGUACAAGUACAUAUUUUACAAUGUGUCUUGGGAUUCUAUGCCAAAUGGAAGAAAACAUUGGGCUUAAAGUUACAAUAAGAGAAGAGAGAGAUGACUACAAACACAUGCUGUAUAGCAAAUCUAUGUGGCCCUGAUAUAACUUGAUGAACUUGAAAAUAGACUUAUGAACAACAGAAACACAAUUAAUGCAUUGAAGUAACAAGAGUAACUAAUUCUAAAAAUUAGAAAUUAAGAGGGAAUGAGAGUUAUUUGGAGAUGAAAAGGAAGUGAAUACAUACAUAGAAAAAAGUCUUGGUACAUGAAUAGAAUGGCAGUAUCUGGCAACAGUUUAUGUUAGUGAUGACUCUUCGACUUUAUAAACCAAAUCAGGAAGCUGAUUUGAGGAACUUGAGUUGGACCAUGAGAAUGCAAAUCCUGGAUGUUCAAAAAUGGAUACCUGAAAAAGUAGCAGGUUAAUAAAUAUAAAAUAUGGUGUAUCGUACUUUAUUUAAAUGUAGAAGUUUUGAAAAAUGUACAUUAAAUACUGCAGGAAACAAGAUUUGGGCACUAUUUGCUAGCAUAUAAGAAACUUAGAAAAAAAAAUGGUAAGGAAACCAAAGUGAAUCUUGCAAGAUGAAGAUUAUGUACAAUUAUAGCUUAUAGGCUAUAAGUAUCUGGUUUUGGUAACAAGUAACAAAUAUCACAUUGGUGGUCUCUUAAAUAAAGUUAUUACUACACAGAUAAUGGGCUUACAAUGAAAUAUUUUCUUUUCUGACAUGAAGAAUUCUAUUUCCCAUAUAUGUAACACAUACAAAACUCGGGAAGAAAAUUGUGUCAUUGUUGUCAUUGGUAACAUUCAUACUAUUUGCUUGCUAAUGCUUGGGUAGGAAAAAGCCAGAAUUAAUAACAAAACUAGAAAAAGUGCUGAAAGGUAAAUGCCAAAGUUAUCGUUUUAUGCAACAGAGAACGAACUAGUUGUUAGUAACUGUAUAUGCAAAAAGUCUAAUGUCGGCUAGCAUGAAUGGCACCUAAUGCAAGAAUUGUUUUCUAACAAAGACCUCUAUGUAAUUAAUGUCAAACAUUAACAUCGUAAAUAUUUUUGCAUCCACUUUUAUGGGGAGCAGUCAAAAUGACUUCCCUCUAUUCUUCUCUGUCUUGUGAUCUUUCUACCUGAACGUCCUAUUGGGUCUAGGUCUUCAUCUUUUCUUUUUUUUUGCAUGAUUUCCUGGUUCUUCUCGCAAAUCUUCAUUCUGCUAUCAUAUCUACAGCUGCCUGAUUAACUGUUCCUCAUCUUUUCUCAUCACAAGUCCCAAUCAUCUCGUUCUAAAAGAUCUUUGUCUUUUCUAGCCCAUGAUGUAACAUUUUUCCUCCAACUCAUUUGUAAUAUGUACAAUCUUUUCAGUAUGUUUCAGUUAUGAAUCUUAAACUUUCUGUGGUUACACCUUUCAUUAUCCUCCAUUUUCUUUCUUGCUGCCAAAGUUUCCUCAAAGUAGUACAAUCCUUAUGUGCUCACUGUAAGUCUCUGCUAUCUCUAUCAAUAUCAAACAUUAAAGCCUAAUUUACCUACACCAGAGAACCCACAAAUAAAAAAAAAAUUCCUUCAAGAAAACAUUUGAACUAGUGCCAACCUUCAAAGAAGAAGGGAUUGUUCUCAUAAAAUUCAAAGGGUACUAACAAAUAAAUCUUGAAAACAAGUACCAGCCAUUCAGGAAAGCAAACCACAUAAAAAAAUACACUAUACGUAUCUCUUCACGUGUAAAACCCAGUUAAUGAACACUAUAAGGAAAAUUGGACUGAAAAAGAUUAAAUAAAGAGAAGAAUUAAGUAAUAAGAAGAACGAUCUACAGGUAAUCUUGCAGUAACCACAAAUCAGCCUAGGAAGUUACUUUAGCUGUUAAAAGUGCUGCAAAUAUAUAAAAUGAGGUGUUACCUGAUGUGGAUCAGUGGAUCCAGUAGGUACAUGUGUGGUACUACCACUGCUUUUCUUCUGUCUAUUAAACAAAGACUGCAAUGAAUAACAGAUUUGUGACUGAACAAAUACUUUGUUGUAGUAUGAUAUACAAUGCUUAGUCAACUCUCAGAUUAUAGUAGCUUCCAGGUGGUUCAUACAGAUUUUGAAACAGAGUUGCAGUAAUAAUAGAGUUCCAUCCAGAAAUAACUAUUCUGAGAUCUUGUUCAGAUUAUUAAUGUCGUCAUUUUUGUGCAUUUACUCAUCUUUAUGUGUGACAUUUGAAUAUUGAAAAUUUGAUCUGAUUAUACACUGCCUACUCCAAAUAGCUUUCAUGUAUUCCUUUUAUGGCUAGGCAAAGGUAUGAGUGGCUUGUAACAAGUGGACUAAUGUCAAUGAACACAAUUCUGUGACAUAGACCUCUGAAGUUUCUUCCCCUACUGCUCGUGAACUUUUCGAUAUGGUUGUGGGAUCCUUCUGUAUUGUUCUUUCAUAGAAUGUGUAGAAAACUUCAGGAGGAACUGUUUAAGGUGCAAUUUUAUUCAUAUGGUAUUAAAAAAGGAGAUGUAAAUUGAGGCAUUCCUAUAAGUACAGUAUAUCUCUCUAUCUCUGUAUAAUUUUAAGACAACAUGCAUUUGGAAUGUGUAAAGGGAUACGUAUUGCUUUUAGCGUGCCUUGCAUGGCAUGUCUUGCAGCACCUAGCUGCAUUGUCCUUUUUCUAUUUAUUUUGAAUUCAUUUCCUUUUGUUAUUCCCCACCUAGCUGUCAAAUUUCUUUUAAUUUUGCUUCAGUUUUCAUCUUUCAUGUGAGAACAAAUAGUACUACUAUGGAUGAAAUCCAUGGGAGUUUGGAAAUGGGGCUCAGUGGUACAGUAUGCAUAUUAUGCAGUACGUUGAAAAUUUUUGAAAUACGUAUUUUAUUUCACUAAACUAAAUGUUUUAUAUGUAUAUUUUGAACUUCCAAACGUCACUUUCAUUUAUGACUUCAUGUUGUUUACAUAUUCAUAGAUGAUAAUUUUAUAAUGGUGUAAUUAUGGUUGUGCACAAGUACUGUACUCUAGAAGCACAUUGAAACUGGAUGUUGAAGUACCAUUUGGUAAAUGGAAAAUGUUAUUAAAGUAGGUGUAGAAAUUCUUGGAUUUUGAUAAUUAAAUAUGUAUUAAGCUUCUAAAGAUUGAACAAAUCUUGUGCUAAGGCACUAAGUGAUUUAAUGCUCUUGAAAAGUUUCUGCUGUUAUUUUUGUACAUACAUUAUUUUGGUAAAGGUUUUUUAAAAAAUUUCAGGGCAAAUUAAAGACAAAUCAGUUGAAAUGAUUGUCAAAAUUUAUAGCACAAAGAUUCCAAAGUUUUGGGCCCUUUUUUUUUUUUUUUUUAUUUUUUUUUUU